rnacentral:rRNA from 1 species
UACGUAGGGUGCAAGCGUUAAUCGGAAUUACUGGGCGUAAAGCGUCCGCAGGUGGCAAUGUAAGUCUGCUGUCAAAGCGUCUGGCUCAACCAGAUAAAGGCAGUGGAAACUACAUAGCUAGAGUAAGGUAGGGGUAGAGGGAAUUCCUGGUGUAGCGGUGAAAUGCGUAGAGAUCAGGAAGAACACCGGUGGCGAAAGCGCUCUGCUGGACCUUAACUGACACUGAGGGACGAAAGCUAGGGGAGCGAAUGGG